rnacentral:lncRNA from 1 species
UACUGUUACCAAUUAGAUUAUCCAUAUCUCUAACUUCAAUUUUUUGCACACCUGGAAUUGUUUCUGCCAUCAUUUCUGUUCUCUUGGAACAUUAAAGAUCAUUGACAACAGAUUUUACAUCAUUAAGAGUUUUUAAUCUUUUGGCUUCAGGACUUGGUAGCAAAGCCAGAAUAUCAGCACCAGUGAGUAGUUUAAGUGUUUUGUGUAUGCGUGUGCAUUUUCUUUUCGGGAGGGUUUUCUGCAUCAUUAAUUUUGCUUAUACUGAGGUCGCUUUGUCAAAAUGAAUAAAAUAUUUGCCAACCUGCACAAAUGUUGAGAUCAAUUGUAGUUUUUUCUUUUUAGAAAACUGAGCUUUUUUUAAGUAACUGGGACUGUAUCAGUCCCCAAACAGAAUUCUCCUCCGAGGCUCGAUGAGAACAAAAAUGCCCUGCCCGAAUGGCAAGGUUGUGGGCUGCAAAAUUCCCCUCCCCGUGUACAUGUUCAAAGCACAAAACAUUUAAACUCUUAGCCAUCUGAAGUAUAUUAUUACAAAUAUUUUUCAAAUGCUAUGGAAGGGGCUUAGAUAUGCUUUUGCCACAAAUCAUCACAGCUCCUAGACAAUCAGAUUUUAUGGUGAUAUUAAUCAAGCUUAUCUGGGAAGCUUUCUUAAGUCCAUCCCAUAUAGCCCAGCAUUAUGCCUGAAGACGUCUUGAAGCCUGGUGCACGUUGCUGCCCUCUAGAAUGAUAGUGACCUGUGAAUCAGCAAUGCAAAAAUCAGUACCUGCAUAUACAUCAGGAUCAGUGAACAGAAAAUAGUAAGGAAGAGAGAUCCCUGUUCGGCUCAAGCAGUGAGGGGGUUGAGGAAGAUCAAUUGUAGUCGAAUCUGUAUUUUUUGAACAGCAGAGAAAUCAAACAAGUAAAUGAAAUUAUUUGAUUAAAAGUAAUUAUGUAACCAUAUUAGUUUAGUAAAUGGGCCUAUUUGAUUUCUCAGUUAUCAUGUUGUAAUUACGUUAUCAAGCCACCAAAUUUAGUUUUGUAUUCAAGCAACACACAUCGGAAGUGGGCAAAAAUUAAAAUUGACUGAUGG